rnacentral:rRNA from 1 species
CCUACGGGCGGCAGCAGUGGGGAAUAUUGGACAAUGGGGGGAACCCUGAUCCAGCCAUGCCGCGUGUGUGAAGAAGGCCCUCGGGUUGUAAAGCACUUUCAGUGAGGAAGAACGCCUGGUGGUUAAUACCCAUCAGGAAAGACAUCACUCACAGAAGAAGCACCGGCUAACUCCGUGCCAGCAGCCGCGGUAAUACGGAGGGUGCGAGCGUUAAUCGGAAUUACUGGGCGUAAAGCGCGCGUGGGUGGCUUGAUAAGCCGGUUGUGAAAGCCCCGGGCUCAACCUGGGAACGGCAUCCGGAACUGUCAAGCUAGAGUGCAGGAGAGGAAGGUAGAAUUCCCGGUGUAGCGGUGAAAUGCGUAGAGAUCGGGAGGAAUACCAGUGGCGAAGGCGGCCUUCUGGACUGACACUGACACUGAGGUGCGAAAGCGUGGGUAGCAAACAGGAUUAGAUACCCUGGUAGUC